ACGCACGCCGGUAGAGACCGCCGCUCUGCUGCCUGCUUGGCGUUGGCGGCUGCACGACGGCCUUGCCCGGGGCCUUGACCACCGUUAUGUGUUCUGUGGUAGUGGUAGCGGAGCAUUGCUCCGCCGCUCCGCCAUCUUGGUUUAAACCUCCCUGGUCGUACGCGUACGCGACGUGAUUCUCGUGUGUUUUAACUGCGAAUUGUGCAGAAAUAUGACGGUGAGAGAUAGUAGGAGUUUGCCGAAUAUGGAAUAGCGGUCGUGAUACGUAAAUGCGUGAGUGACGGGGUCGCGUGAAUCAGCUGCUCUGUUUAUAUCGUUGCCGGCGACGCGUAGUCGUUCGCUCUCCGCUGGUGUCUCGACGUUUUAGCUUUUUUGCUCCGUUCUGAAUGAUUUCCACGUCCACGAGUGAAUCGGUGCACGUCGGAGAUGGACGUCUAGUAUCGAAUUUGACGACGGGCGAUCGCGUUAUCGUGUUGCGGUAAUCGUGAUAUCCCUCGGCGUGUCGCGAUUAACACGUCUUUCCCGCGACCUAACCAAUACGUUGCAUCGCGUCACGUACGUACAUUUCAUGGCUUGUUGAAGCUCUAAAUCUUGAAGUUCUCAUUAACGUUUCGGAAUGCCGAGAAGAAAUUUUCUCGAAUCGCGUAAAAAUCGGGCGAGUCAGCGAUGCGCCGUGUAAAUUAGCUGCUCAUUUCGUUAUAUUUUUGCCGUGAGCACGUAGCUGCCUCGGGACCGUGCGUUUCAGCUUUUUCGUUUCGUUUCGAAUCAUUUCCGCGAGAACUAGUGUCGAGAAUGCGCGUCCAGUGACCUCCAACGGAGGAGGGACGAGAGGAGAGGAGGAGAUGGUCCAGGAUGGCUUCGGGCAACAGCGGAGCAACUCUCAGAUUGAUGUAGCUGUGUUACAACUUUGCUGCUGCGCAUCGGUCCGAUAUUCUUCAAGGUGGAAGGUGACGAGAAGAGGACAUCACCCAUCGUCGCCGACUUAUAAUAAAAUAAACGAACCGCAGUCGGUUCGUCGCGUCGCGCGUUUUUUUCCGGGAGUGCCGUUUAAGUAUUGGACUAAUGAACUUUUCAUAACUCCCAUUCGAUAGAAUCCUAAUUCGAGGGCCGGGAAUCGCACCCCCGCUGCUUGGCAGUGAAUAUCCUUACUGGGGCGUUGCGUAUGGUGGGCGUGCGCGCCGCACCGCGACGUUUCAUGCCGAAGUGCCCGUGCACGAGGUAAUUCCGAGCCGCUUGUACGACAUGUUCGUCUGCAUGUUGCGCGGUUGUCUGGAUGUGUGAGUUUACACGCUCUGUCUCCGGCGAUCGGUUCGGUCCUAAGCGGUUAGAAAAUCGGAUCAGUUCUCUUGGGUUCGCGCGUUUCUCUUGCUCUCGUCCACCAUCCUAAGGCUUUCUUAGAUCCUUGAUGCCCUUUUUGGAUUCUUUGGAUCUGGGGUUCGAGCUGGGUGAAUCACGUUUAAUCUGACUUGGUCAGAACCUGGCCUUGUAGGUUAAGCUUGUGACGAGAGGCUGGCUCUCAUUUCCUGAUUCGUCUAAAUGCUAAACGUCGGCAAUGAGUACCUUCUUUUCUCGUCCUGCCCGAGUGUCUUGUCGACGCCGCUUGGAUAUAAGAUCCAGUGGGACUGAUUAAGAUGAUCCGUUGGCUGGGCCUAUGAACGAGUCAAUUUUAGACGUGAUUUUGUGAGACAAGAGGCGUAGGAAUUCAAUACCAUUGAUUUCGUUUUCUUCCGCGUGGGGCUUACCCUUGUUCGGGGGUGGGUACGCGUGCGUUCUACGUGCCGACUCGGGGUGCUGAAUCCACGGGAAUCCCUCUGAAUGGGAAUUCAUAUCAUGGGUUUUAUAAACCCGAAGUAUCGCGCGAAAAACUUUAUAAAUAAUAAGUCCACGCGCGCAAAUUUAGUAUUAUUCGCGAGUGUUUCGCGUGUGCAACGAGACGAAGAGGACAACCUAGAGGACACUGAGAGGAGGAGGAGGCCUGGGAGAGGCAUCAGGCCUCAGCGGAGCAACCUUGGGAAUCAUCGUAGCUUCGUGGCUGAAUAACUCCGCUUGUUGCGCAUCGGGUCGGUGAGUCAGACAUCAAUUU